UUCAUUUAUAUAAAGAUUUAUUUGAGAAAGAGAAGUAAAUAUUUCAUGAUGCUUUUCUCCAACACUUGAGUACUGGUAUAGAAUAGAGUAUUACAGCCUCAUAAUGUACAGCAGGGUUUCCCAAACUCAGUUGUGGGGCCCACCCUGGGUCCAUAUAUCUUUUUUGCCCUAGCACUACACAGCUGAUUCAAAUAACCAAUUUAAAUGACUUUGGGAAACCCUGCUUUACAGCAUAAAUAUACUUGUAAAUAGACUUACUGCAUUUCACAAACACUAGCAUUAGAAAUACAGUACUGACAUAGACAAAUAGCACAGUACAACAUAAUGCUUUUACAUACAGUACAGUGGUGGUGAAGGCUAGGAUAAAUCCUUUUCAUUAGGGAGAUGGAUGGCACAAAUCAUUUAUGAACCCAGGUUGAUUUUCAGUAGUGGGGUCCUGUACCAUCAUCUUGAUGGUAAUAACUUGUAUUAUAAAUCACUACAUUCCUCCCUCAGCCAUGUGCAGACCAGACUCAUAUGAAGUUUCAAAGGUGGAAUGGGUGUUAUAGAACAUGUGUAAAUUAUAAUUCAUUGGUGGGUUAAAGUGCAUCAACUUUUGAAUAAGCUUAUCUCUGCUUGAUUAAUAACUGGACAUAUUUUCCUUUUUUGCCCCAUUCAAAAUACCCUGGUAGAUGCGUCAUGGGUAAAACAUUUGUAUUUCCAUACUUAUUCCUAAGAAUAAGAGUAGGCUUUAGCCGGCUGGUGUCAGUAUUAGAGGACCAAAAAUUAUCCAAGGCACUGGUUUAACGGUACUGAUUUACAAGAAUAUGAAUAUGAAAACGUAUUAAAAGAUUACAACUUUAAGAAGAAGAGUUAAAGUGAUGGAAUUAAGGCAGAGAUAACGCAGCAGCAUCCUGAUCUGGGGGUUUGGGUAGUCCUGAGUGCUGUCCCUGUCACUUUCUCUGGGGGUUGGGUCCAAAUAGCUUGGUUAAGGGAUGGGUAGUCCUGAGUGCUGUCCCAAAAAAGGAAAGAGAUAGGGAAGAGAUAAUGAAAAGGAUGUAGCAAGCAGUAUCUACAAAUGUCUGGUGUUUAGGCCCUCAGUGACAUCAUAAUCACAGUAUCUAUGAAUGUCUGGUGGUCAGGUCCUCAGUGACAUCAUAAUCACAGUAUCUACAAAUGUCUGGUGGUCAGGUCCUCAGUGACAUUAUAAUCACAGUAUCUAUGAAUGUCUGGUGGUCAGGUCCUCAGUGACAUUAUAAUCACAGUAUCUAUGAAUGUCUGGUGGUCAGGUCCUCAGUGACAUUAUAAUCACAGUAUCUAUGAAUGUCUGGUGGUCAGGUCCUCAGUGACAUUAUAAUCACAGUAUCUAUGAAUGUCUGGUGGUCAGGUCCUCAGUGACAUCAUAAUCAUAAGCUAUAGACAAGUCUGUUGUUACAGCCUGAUAGAGAACACACUCACCCUUAUAUGACAUAGUUUUUUAUUUUGCGCUUCUUGAUACACCUGUAAGUAAUGAUGCCAAUGCAAACAACGACCAGGACAGGGAUAAGUAAACACCACCACCCUUAAUAACAACAGAUAAAAACACAACAUUAUUGGAUAAGUAUGUAUCAUAUUACAAUUGGAGGACUAAUUAUUUACAAUGAGGAGGAAUCAUAAAGCACUAAUCAAUCAACGGAUUAAUAUUUUUUUUUUUAAAAAGCCACUGAGGAGUAUAUUAGUCUGUCAGAGUGAAAUUGUCAGUGUUGAGCAGCAUUGCUGCGCUGUGUAUUUCUGCACUCACCAGGAUGUCCAUAUUGAGCAGCAGCUCCAGUGAAGUCUGAACCUGCCACCAAGACAAACAACUCAACAGCCAGACUGCAGAUGUCUUUGUUAGGGAUUCACUCAACUGUACACAGGACAAUUAAGUCUCACUAACAAAGCUAGGAUGGGAAUCAAUCCGAGUGUCAAUUUGGACAAUGCUCCAUUUUAAGGUAAUUUUCAAUUGAGCAACCGUGAAUGUGAUCUCCACUAAGGCAGAAACAUUGCCUUUAAAACGUGCAUUGUGGGCAAAGCUCAAUCAGACUGAAUCCUGGCCUUAGUGUUCAAUUAAGCAAGGGACACUGCAUAAAUAGUGCUGUGUAAAAUGACCAUAAGAUUCUCUACAGCCAGUUUGUGAAAAUAAUACAGAAUGUUUGAAUCGAUGACUCACCAUUCACAGUAGUUGGUGCGAUGCCGAUGACAAGGCAAUCUGAAAUAGCAGAACAGGGCUGAUUAGCCUACAUGCAACAAUUGACAGACGGAGCACAUAUGGAAAUUUGUUUUUGGUUUGGUGAUGGAUUUUUUCUCAUACUCUAUAAUAUAGGCUACUGGUAACUUCCUAUAGCCCCUGGGAUUAUAGACACCCAGGACCAUCGAUUU
rnacentral:lncRNA from 1 species